rnacentral:rRNA from 1 species
UUAAUAUUAAUAGUUAUGUUCUUUAAAUUAAAAGAAUUUGGCGGUUAUUUAAUCUUUCUAGAGGAACCUGUCCUGUAAUUGAUAAUCCACGAUUGAUUUUACUUUAAUUAUACUUAUAUAUCGCUGUCAUUGAAUGUUUUAUAAGAUUAUUUUCUUUUAUUUUUAUGAAUAUAAUGUUAGGUCAAGAUGUAGUUAUAUUAAAGAAGAGAUGGGUUACAUUUAUAUAAUUAAUGGAUUGAAAUUUGGAAUAUUUUUCAUUAAAUUGGAUUUAGGUGUAAUUUUUAUAAAAUAAUAAUUUUGAUUUUAGUUCUAAAUAAUGUACACAUCGCCCGUCACUCCCAUUAUGAGUUGGGAUAAGUCGUAACAAAGUAGGCCUACCGGAAGGUGGGCCUGGUUAGUU